rnacentral:lncRNA from 1 species
GGAAGUGAUACAGCAGCAGAAUGAGAAGAUCCUAGAACAGAUAGACAAGAGUGGCGAGCUCAUAAGCCUUAGAGAGGAGGUGACCCACCUUACCCGCUCACUUCGGCGUGCGGAGACAGAGACCAAAGUGCUCCAGGAGGCCCUGGCAGGCCAGCUGGACUCCAACUGCCAGCCUAUGGCCACCAAUUGGAUCCAGGAGAAAGUGUGGCUCUCUCAGGAGGUGACUCAGAGUUAACAGAGGAGCUGGACAGCAGGUGGGGACCCCAGGCUGUACCCCUGUUGAUCUGGACAUAUUUCUAGGUGGACAAACUGAGAGUGAUGUUCCUGGAGAUGAAAAAUGAGAAGGAAAAACUCAUGAUCAAGUUCCAGAGCCAUAGAAAUAUCCUAGAGGAGAACCUUCGGCGCUCUGACAAGGAGUUAGAAAAACUAGAUGACAUUGUUCAGCAUAUUUAUAAGACCCUGCUCUCUAUUCCAGAGGUGGUGAGGGGAUGCAAAGAACUACAGGGAUUGCUGGAAUUUCUGAGCUAAGAAACUGAAAGCCAGAAUCUGCUUCACCUCUUUUUACCUGCAAUACCCCCUUACCCCAAUACCAAGACCAACUGGCAUAGAGCCAACUGAGAUAAAUGCUAUUUAAAUAAAGUGUAUUUAAUGAAUUUC